rnacentral:rRNA from 1 species
AUUGAACGCUGGCGGCAGGCCUAACACAUGCAAGUCGAGCGGAUGAAGGGAGCUUGCUCCUGGAUUCAGCGGCGGACGGGUGAGUAAUGCCUAGGAAUCUGCCCGGUAGUGGGGGAUAACGUCCGGAAACGGGCGCUAAUACCGCAUACGUCCUGAGGGAGAAAGUGGGGGAUCUUCGGACCUCACGCUAUCAGAUGAGCCUAGGUCGGAUUAGCUAGUUGGUGGGGUAAAGGCCUACCAAGGCGACGAUCCGUAACUGGUCUGAGAGGAUGAUCAGUCACACUGGAACUGAGACACGGUCCAGACUUCUACGGGAGGCAGCAGUGGGGAAUAUUGGACAAUGGGCGAAAGCCUGAUCCAGCCAUGCCGCGUGUGUGAAGAAGGUCUUCGGAUUGUAAAGCACUUUAAGUUGGGAGGAAGGGCAGUAAGUUAAUACCUUGCUGUUUUGACGUUACCAACAGAAUAAGCACCGGCUAACUUCGUG